rnacentral:rRNA from 1 species
UGCGCAGGCGGUUUUGUAAGACAGUGGUGAAAUCCCCGGGCUCAACCUGGGAACUGCCAUUGUGACUGCAAGGCUGGAGUGCGGCAGAGGGGGAUGGAAUUCCGCGUGUAGCAGUGAAAUGCGUAGAUAUGCGGAGGAACACCGAUGGCGAAGGCAAUCCCCUCGGGCCUGCACUGACGCUCAUGCACGAAAGCGCGGGGAGCAAACA